rnacentral:rRNA from 1 species
CCUUGUACACACCGCCCGUCAAGCCACGAAAGUGGGGUGCGCCCGAAGUCGCCAAGUUAACCCGCAAGGGAGGCAAGCGCCGAAGGUGAACUCCGCGAUUGGGACU